rnacentral:rRNA from 1 species
AUGGGUGCCAAAGGCGCCGCGCUCAGCAACGCCAUCUCGUACGCCGUGAACCUGGUGAUGCUUUUCCUGUACGUCAGGCUGUCGAGCUCCUGCAGGGACACGUGGAACGGGUUCUCCAUGGAGGGGUUCAAGGAUCUGCGCAAAUUCGCCGAUCUCGCCGUGCCCUCUGCCAUGAUGAUCUGCUUGGAGUGGUGGGCUUUCGAAACACUUGUGCUGCUGUCUGGUCUUCUGCCGAACCCUCAGCUGGAGACUUCAGUGCUGUCAAUUUGCCUUAACACUGGGAUUCUUCUCUUCAUGAUGCCAUCGGGGCUUGGUUAUUCCGUGAGCACGCGCGUUUCCAACGAACUUGGUGCUGGACAGCCUCAGGCAGCAAAGUUGGCAACGAGGGUAGUCGUGUACAUCGCCUUCUUCUUAGGCUUGUUCCUGACCUUGGGCAUGACCCUGCUAUGCCACGUUUGGGGGUACAUGUACAGCAACGAGCAGGAGGUCGUGGCAUACAUUGCCAAGAUGCUGCCGAUUCUUGGGAUAUCUUUCUUCAUAGAUGGCCUUCACGGAUCUCUCUCAGGCGUGCUCACGGGCUGCGGCAAGCAAAAGAUCGGCGCCACGGUGAACCUCGGCGUGUUCUACUUGGCAGGCAUCCCUAUGGAGGUGCUGCUUGCGUUUGUCUUCCAUCUCAAUGGAAUGGGCCUUUGGCUCGGCAUCGUCUGUGGCAGCCUCAUCAAAGUGUUCUUGUUUGCAUCUGUCACAUGGACCAUAGACUGGAGCAUGGAAGCUACCAAGGCAAAGGACAGGGUAUUCGGCUCAUCUCUGCCAGUAGCAUGA